rnacentral:rRNA from 1 species
UACGGAGGGUGCGAGCGUUAAUCGGAAUUACUGGGCGUAAAGCGCGCGUAGGUGGCUUGUUAAGCAGAAUGUGAAAGCCCCGGGCUUAACCUGGGAACUGCAUCCUGAACUGGCAGGCUAGAGUAUAGUAGAGGAUAGUGGAAUUUCUGGUGUAGCGGUGAAAUGCGUAGAUAUCAGAAGGAACAUCAGUGGCGAAGGCGACUGUCUGGACUAAUACUGACGCUGAGGUGCGAAAGCGUGGGGAGCAAACAGG